AGCAGCCGCGGUAAUUCCAGCUCCAAUAGCGUAUAUUAAAGUUGUUGCAGUUAAAAAGCUCGUAGUUGAACCUUAGGCCCGUGCGGGCGGUCCGUCCUCUGGGCGAGCACUGCCUCGUCGCGGGUCUCACCUUCUGGCGAGCGCGGAUGCCAUUCAUUUGGUGUCUGCGGGAACCAGGACCUUUACCUUGAAAAAAUUGAGUGCUCAAAGCGGGCUCUUACGCUUGAAUACAUUAGCAUGGAAUAAUGAAAUAGGACGACGGUUCUAUUUUGUUGGUUUCCGGGAUUGUCGUAAUGAUUAAUAGGGAUAGUUGGGGCAUUCGUAUUCAAUUGUCAGAGGUGAAAUUCUUGGAUUUAUUGAAGACGGACUACUGCGAAAGCAUUUGCCAAGGAUGUUUUCAUUAAUCAAGAACGAAGUUGGGGGAUCGAAGACGAUCAGAUACCGUCGUAGUCUCAACCAUAAACUAUGCCGACUGGGAAUCGGGACGAAGUUAUUUUUCGUGACUCGCUCGGCGCCCGGA
rnacentral:rRNA from 1 species